rnacentral:rRNA from 1 species
UACGUAGGCGGAAAAUUUAGUCGGUGGUGAAAUCCCGCAGCUUAACUGUGGAACUGUCAUUGAUACUGGUUUUCUUGAAUUUAGUUGAGGUAGGCGGAAUGUGUAAUGUAGCGGUGAAAUGCUUAGAUAUUACACAGAACACCGAUUGCGAAGGCAGCUUACUAAGCUAUGAUUGACGCUGAGGUACGAAAGCGUGGGGAGCGAACAGGAUUAGAUACCCUGGUAGUCC